UAGGGAAUCUUCCACAAUGGACGCAAGUCUGAUGGAGCAACGCCGCGUGAGUGAAGAAGGUUUUCGGAUCGUAAAGCUCUGUUGUUGGUGAAGAAGGAUAGAGGCAGUAACUGGUCUUUAUUUGACGGUAAUCAACCAGAAAGUCACGGCUAACUACGUGCCAGCAGCCGCGGUAAUACGUAGGUGGCAAGCGUUGUCCGGAUUUAUUGGGCGUAAAGCGAGCGCAGGCGGAAUGAUAAGUCUGAUGUGAAAGCCCACGGCUCAACCGUGGAACUGCAUCGGAAACUGUCAUUCUUGAGUGCAGAAGAGGAGAGUGGAACUCCAUGUGUAGCGGUGGAAUGCGUAGAUAUAUGGAAGAACACCAGUGGCGAAGGCGGCUCUCUGGUCUGCAACUGACGCUGAGGCUCGAAAGCAUGGGUAGCGAACAGGAUUAGAUACCCUGGUAGUCCAUGCCGUAAACGAUGAGCGCUAGGUGUUGGGGACUUUCCGGUCCUCAGUGCCGCAGCAAACGCAUUAAGCGCUCCGCCUGGGGAGUACGACCGCAAGGUUGAAACG
rnacentral:rRNA from 1 species